rnacentral:rRNA from 1 species
CAUUAUACCGCGAAACUGCGAAUGGCUCAUUAAAUCAGUUAUCGUUUAUUUGAUAGUACCUUACUACUUGGAUAACCGUGGUAAUUCUAGAGCUAAUACAUGCUAAAAAUCCCGACUUCGGAAGGGAUGUAUUUAUUAGAUUAAAAACCAAUGCCCUUCGGGGCUCACUGGUGAUUCAUAAUAACUUCUCGAAUCGCAUGGCCUUGCGCCGGCGAUGGUUCAUUCAAAUUUCUGCCCUAUCAACUUUCGACGGCUGGGUCUUGGCCAGCCAUGGUGACAACGGGUAACGGAGGGUUAGGGCUCGACCCCGGAGAAGGAGCCUGAGAGACGGCUACUACAUCCAAGGAAGGCAGCAGGCGCGCAAAUUACCCAAUCCCGACACGGGGAGGUAGUGACAAUAAAUACUGAUACAGGGCUCUUUAGGGUCUUGUAAUUGGAAUGAGUACAAUUUAAAUCCCUUAACGAGGAACAAUUGGAGGGCAAGUCUGGUGCCAGCAGCCGCGGUAAUUCCAGCUCCAAUAGCGUAUAUUAAAGUUGUUGCAGUUAAAAAGCUCGUAGUUGAACCUUGGGCCUGGCUGGCCGGUCCGCCUCACCGCGUGCACUGGUCCGGCCGGGUCUUUCCCUCUGGGGAACCGCAUGCCCUUCACUGGGUGUGCUGGGGAACCAGGACUUUUACUUUGAAAAAAUUAGAGUGUUCAAAGCAGGCCUAUGCUCGAAUACAUUAGCAUGGAAUAAUAGAAUAGGACGUGUGGUUCUAUUUUGUUGGUUUCUAGGACCGCCGUAAUGAUUAAUAGGGACAGUCGGGGGCAUCAGUAUUCAAUUGUCAGAGGUGAAAUUCUUGGAUUUAUUGAAGACUAACUACUGCGAAAGCAUUUGCCAAGGAUGUUUUCAUUAAUCAGGAACGAAAGUUAGGGGAUCGAAGACGAUCAGAUACCGUCGUAGUCUUAACCAUAAACUAUGCCGACUAGGGAUCGGACGAAGUUAUUUUUUGACUCGUUCGGCACCUUACACGAAAGUAUAAGUUCUG